GCGCGGUCUCCGUCGGGUGCUAGCUUACUCUGAAUUACUGAGCGUAAAGCGUUUACAGGCGGUGUGUAUGUAUGUCGUGUUAUCCGCGGGCUCAACGGGGGAAUUAUGAUGGAGUCUGCACGGCUAGAAUCUGGCAGAGGGGGGUAGAAUUCCACGUGUGGCAGUGAAAUGCGUAGAGAUGUGGAGGAACACCGAUGGCGAUGGCAGCCCCCUGGGUCAAGAUUGACCCUCAUGCACGAAAGCGUGGGGAGCAAACAGCAUUAGAUAUCCUGGUAGUCCACGCCGUAAUUGAUGUCUACUAGUUGUCGGGUUUUAAUUAACGUGGUAACGCAGCUAACGCGUGAAGUAGACCGCCUGGGGAGUACGGUCGCAAGAUUAAAACUCAAAGGAAUUGACGGGGACCCGCACAAGCGGUGGAUGAUGUGGAUUAAUUAGAUGCAACGCGAAAAACCUUACCUACCCUUGACAUGUACGGAAGCCACGAGAGAUCGAGGUGUGCUCGAAGGAGAACCGUAACACAGGUGCUGCAUGGCUGUCGUCAGCUCGUGUCGUGAGAUGUUGGGUUAAGUCCCGCAACGAGCGCAACCCUUGUCAUUAGUUGCUACAUUUAGUUGGGCACUCUAAUGAGACUGCCGGUGACAAACCGGAGGAAGGUGGGGAUGACGUCAAGUCCUCAUGGCCCUUAUGGGUAGGGCUUCACACGUCAUACAAUGGUACAUACAGAGGGCCGCCAACCCGCGAGGGGGAGCUAAUCCCAGAAAGUGUAUCGUAGUCCGGAUCGCAGUCUGCAACUCGACUGCGUGAAGUUGGAAUCGCUAGUAAUCGCGGAUCAGCAUGUCGCGGUGAAUACGUUCCCGGGCCUUGUACACACCGCCCGUCACACCAUGGGAGUGGGUUUUACCAGAAGUAGGUAGUCUAACCGCAAGGAGGACGCUACCACGGUAGAUACAAAGGU
rnacentral:rRNA from 1 species